GGAGAGAAAAUCGGCAGCUAUUGCGUGCAAGCGAUUUGAUGGGACACAUUCUUUCGAUGCGAUUGCAACUCUCUUAUCGAACAUUCAUUCAUCGUUUGGAUUGAAUUCGGAAAAUAUACGGGCGACAGUGACAGAUAACGGCUCCAAUUUCGUCAAGGAAUUUAAAGAAUUUGGUGUGGUUACAAAUGGCAUUUCACCUGAUGAGGAUCAGGCAAACUGUGCAGACGAACGAUCAUUGAUCAAUUUGGACGAAGAGGACGUUGAAUUUGUCGAUGAUAUGGUUGUAACGGCCGAAGACUUCUGUAAUGAUUGCAUAAAGUUACCUCGCCACGUCCGAUGUGCUAGUCACACCUUGCAUAUCGUAGCUACUACCGAUGUUUUGAAAGCUGUGAAAAAUCAUCACCAUUUGAAGACAAAACAUUUCGCUGUCAUGGAUAAGUGUUCAUCAUUGUGGAAGAUUUCGCGUUCUCCAAAAAAAAGUGAACAGUUGAAAGAAUACCUAGGACCAUGGACGACGUACUCCGAGUGAUGCUGCUCCUCUCCUUCUUAACCAUCUCAUGGCAAUCAAAUCACGCGCUGAUCGCAUACGAUUGCGGAGCACCGGCGAUGAACAUCACAACCUUAUCACUACUAGACAUCAAAGAAUGCGAUAUUCCGAUACACAAACCAACGGUCUCAACAUCGAAGAUCUGGGUGACGCCACGCCGGGUGGAACCAAUCUUCCUCUGGGUGAAGUUGGCCCAUGCGACCUUUGAACAACCAGCGGAUGCACCACAGGUCGAAGCCAGACUCGUUGGUAGGCUCCAACCACCACUUCAUUCCGGAACGGUACGACUCCCGAUCCUCUCAACAAUAGCGUCUAGCUUCCCGGAAAAUUUUCUAGAAAAACACGAAUUAUGAAUAAUCUGUACACCCUUUCCUUUCCCUUUUCCUCAAAAAACGGGGCCGGGUUGAAGUUCCGAACGGUGAGAAAUCAAAAGGCUCAAAAGUCCGAAAAUCUAGCUGGGACUCGAAAUAUAUAGAUAUACCGCACUAGCGAGAUUUUUGGACUUUUGAGCCUUCUGAUUUCUCACCGUUCGGAAUUUCAACCCGGCCCCCAAAAAACCAGCAUAACAUCAAACACUUACGAGAAACUCUUCUUUAUAUCGGUGCGCAAUCGUAGCUACCCGAACGUCAUACGAAUCCGAAUUAAUUCGUCUCUUCUUACGAUCCGAGUAAGUGGCAUCCUACAAAACGCAGUAACACAAAGAAUUAAUAAAAUUCGCUAAAUAAAUGAUUCACCCACAAUUCCACGAACACAACACUUACCGCAAAUACAGCCGAGUGAGCCUUCGCCAAGAUCUUAAUCGCCGUUGUCUGGGGACUCUCCGAAUCCAUCGGCACAGGGUAACCGCAAGACAUUUUAUUCUCUCACCAAUUUUCUCUCUUCUUCCGAAACUUCCAAAAGAAGGCCCAAACGAUUAUGGGGAGAUUGCCAAAAUACGACCAAUAUAAACCCUUUCUCCCACCUUACUUCGUUUCCCUCACCUUUCUCCAGAAGAAAUGACGUAUACGAAUGAGCAUAGUAGAAACACCCCUACAACGAGCUGUACACUCAUUGAACUCUGGAAUAACUCAGCUUACUCAUUUAAGAUAUGUAGUUAACAAGAGGUAAUAAGACUAUGCUAAUGAACUUCGGAACUAGGACAAUCUUUUGUGAAAAUUUAUGGUAAGAACAGAUUCACCACAAAUGAAGAGAUACCUCCUUUUUCCUUAACUCCUACCUCUAAGAAUUAAGAUAAAUGUAAUUUUGAAUACGAACAUGAUUCACAUU